CUCUCUCGAUCUCGAUCCCUCUCUCGAGAACAGUGGCUCUCUGGUCCCUUCCCUCCUCCCCCGUCGGAUCGUUCACAUAUGCGUUCGCGCUUUCUCCUUUUCUUGGUUGAUGACCGCCGUCGCGAUCGCCGCCGAGACGAGGCUCUCCGUGGGCUGUAGCAUCUGUGUGCCAAUCCUGGUUUCUCGGUUCACGCUGACAAGUUAUUUGUCGUUUUGCUUGUGUGUUCGUGACGCAGAGCGGACAAAUCUGUGAUGGCGUCAAGGCGAUCUAAAAGCUCUGCCGAAGAAUUUGGGGCCUGCGCUCUCGGUAAGUGACGAGGAAGUGAUUCAUUCUAUCGCAUUAAGUUUCAUUUGAUUGCCGUGGUCUAGGUCUAAUUUGUGUGAUUAUUGCAUUUGGUGCUUGUCCUUGUGGUAUGAAUACCACGCUCAACAAAUGACAUGCUGACAAGUCAUUUGUUGUUUUGCUUGUGUGCUUGUGAUGCCGAGCGGAUGGCGUUCUCGGAUUUCCAAGAUGAUCUCAAAGCUAUGCAGAAGAAUUCGGGGGCUGGGCACUUGGGAAUCCUUGUUUCUUCAUGCUGAAGGAAGAAUCUACUUGAGCGUCUUCCUGAAGCAACGCGUCACGAGCUUAAGCUUGUAUUUUGCUUUGUCCCGGCACCAGGAAGAGAAUCUAUCCUCUCUCUCUCUUUGGUCGUUUCUUUGCCCGUAGUGCAGGCUGAGUCACAUUGCACAGAGGCCACGCGUUAACGCCAUUAAACUUAUCAAACAAUUCCGCUACCCAUAGUGUUCCAGAGAUUUGGAGAAAAUAAAGGCCGAGUCGACAUCGCCCAGACAAUUCUGAUGCCCACAGCGUUCUGGAUAUUAAGAAGGAAGACACGGCUAUAAAUCAUCACCAACCAAACCCAACAUUGGAUGUGAAGAAGAAUGAAAGAGAAUAGUCGCAGCAACAUUGCAAAAAGGAAGGUCUUGAACAACAGCUCCAACGUUUAACAAGCCUGAAUGUCGAGCAGAAGAGACCAGAAUGAUGAGAGCUUCAUGAUCUUAGGGUCUUAUGCAAGUACAAGAACAGAAGGAUGCUCCGAUCUUGUUCAAGUUGGCAUAGGAGGUAUUGGAAAAGUUAUUAUCUUAAAGCUGAUUUAUAACAUGAAAGUGAAGAUGAUGACUAUCGACACUAGAUUUAGAUUAGUGUUGGAUGAUGUGUGGAAUGCACAAACUGAGCACAUAUGGGAAGAAGAUAUGAAAACAAAAUAUGUGUGUCUAUCAACAAAUGAAAUCCUGUAACUUCUAAGUG